GUGGCGGCCGUAUACACUCCAACGGUCAAGUCAGGUUUGGGUGGUCGGAACAGUGUCCAGGGACUACACAAAUCAAUCAGUCAAUAAAGGGGGAGGAGAAUAUAUAAACUUGUUAUGGAGUGCUAUCUAUUGAGAGUUUCAUUACCUUUGCCUCUGGCCAAUCUUUGGGUAUUUAUAGGUGGUAUGAACCGUGGGAUGUGGAACACGUGUAUACAUCUGACGGUAUGAAGCGUCUGCUCAUAGGCGUCAAUCAGCCGCGCUUGUAGAGUGGACGGACAGUUUGUUUCCCCCGAGUUGAAUUGACAUAAAGUUGAUAAGUCACAUCAAAUAGCUUUAUGGGGGACGUCACAUCAAUUUAAACCUUAUAUGCAGAGCAAAUCUUAAAUUGGCAGCGAAUCUUCUAAC
rnacentral:lncRNA from 1 species